rnacentral:rRNA from 1 species
UACGUAGGUGGCGAGCGUUGUCCGGAUUUACUGGGCGUAAAGCGUGCGUAGGCGGCUAUGUAAGACAGAUGUGAAAUCCCUGGGCUUAACCUAGGAACUGCAUUUGUGACUGCAUUGCUGGAGUGUGGUAGAGGGAGAUGGAAUUCCGCAUGUAGCAGUGAAAUGCGUAGAUAUGCGGAGGAACACCAAUGGCGAAGGCAAUCUCCUGGACCUGCACUGACGCUCAUGCACGAAAGCGUGGGGAGCAAACAGG